rnacentral:rRNA from 1 species
GACGAACCGUACGAACGUUGUUCGGAAUCACUGGGCUUAAAGGGCGCGUAGGCGGGCUGCCGCGUCCGGGGUGAAAUCCCACGGCUCAACCGUGGAACUGCCUCGGAUACGGGCGGUCUCGAGGGGGGUAGGGGCACGCGGAACUGUGGGUGGAGCGGUGAAAUGCGUUGAUAUCCACAGGAACUCCGGUGGCGAAGGCGGCGUGCUGGACCCCAUCUGACGCUGAGGCGCGAAAGCCAGGGGAGCAAACGGG